UACGGAGGGUGCGAGCGUUAAUCGGAAUUACUGGGCGUAAAGCGUGCGUAGGCGGAAGCUAAAGUCUGAUGUGAAAGCCCUGGGCUUAACCUGGGAAUGGCAUUGGAAACUGGGUUUCUAGAGUGUGGUAGAGGAUAGUGGAAUUUCCAGUGUAGCGGUGAAAUGCGUAGAUAUUGGAAAGAACACCGAUGGCGAAGGCAGCUAUCUGGGCCAACACUGACGCUGAUGUACGAAAGCGUGGGGAGCAAACAGG
rnacentral:rRNA from 1 species